rnacentral:lncRNA from 1 species
UUAUGGUCAUUCUUAAUAUACAGUUCCAAAUGAAAUAUUUAGGAUAAAAAACAUCGUUAUUGAAUUUGGAGCAAAUGACAUCAAAUUCCGCGAACCUGUACUUUUAAUGACGUCAUAAAUAAAACUCAACGGAAACAAAUUGUUAACCGGUCAUAAACAUAAACUGGAAUCCGCUUGUAUUACGCUUCACUCAAACUGAUGAACAAAGUGUAGUUGUCAGCCGAGAACCAGCUUAUCAUAAACAGGGAUGUAUAAUAUACGGUCAGUGACUGUACAUCAAAAAUUAUCAGAAAUAAUUUUACGGCCAAUGCAAUUUGACUGCGCAAAUAGCAUAGCUGCAGUAUAUACAAAGAUUUUACAUUCAAGUAGAAACUCCAUAUGAUACCUGAUUACAAU